GGUUAAGCGACUAAGCGUACACGGUGGAUGCCCUGGCAGUCAGAGGCGAUGAAGGACGUGCUAAUCUGCGAAAAGCGUCGGUAAGGUGAUAUGAACCGUUAUAACCGGCGAUGUCCGAAUGGGGAAACCCAGUGCAAUUCGUUGCACUAUCGUUAACUGAAUACAUAGGUUAACGAGGCGAACCGGGGGAACUGAAACAUCUAAGUACCCCGAGGAAAAGAAAUCAACCGAGAUUCCCCCAGUAGCGGCGAGCGAACGGGGAGCAGCCCAGAGUCUGAAUCAGCUUGUGUGUUAGUGGAACGGUCUGGAAAGUCCGACGGUACAGGGUGAUAGUCCCGUACACCAAAAUGCACAGGUUGUGAACUCGAAGAGUAGGGCGGGACACGUGGUAUCCUGUCUGAAUAUGGGGGGACCAUCCUCCAAGGCUAAAUACUCCUGACUGACCGAUAGUGAACCAGUACCGUGAGGGAAAGGCGAAAAGAACCCCGGCGAGGGGAGUGAAAAAGAACCUGAAACCGUGUACGUACAAGCAGUGGGAGCACCUUCGGGUGUGACUGCGUACCUUUUGUAUAAUGGGUCAGCGACUUAUAUUCUGUAGCAAGGUUAACCGUAUAGGGGAGCCGCAGGGAAACCGAGUCUUAACUGGGCGUUAAGUUGCAGGGUAUAGACCCGAAACCCGGUGAUCUAGCCAUGGGCAGGUUGAAGGUUGGGUAACACUAACUGGAGGACCGAACCGACUAAUGUUGAAAAAUUAGCGGAUGACUUGUGGCUGGGGGUGAAAGGCCAAUCAAACCGGGAGAUAGCUGGUUCUCCCCGAAAGCUAUUUAGGUAGCGCCUCGUGAACUCAUCUUCGGGGGUAGAGCACUGUUUCGGCUAGGGGGUCAUCCCGACUUACCAACCCGAUGCAAACUACGAAUACCGAAGAAUGUUAUCACGGGAGACACACGGCGGGUGCUAACGUCCGUCGUGAAGAGGGAAACAACCCAGACCGCCAGCUAAGGUCCCAAAGUCAUGGUUAAGUGGGAAACGAUGUGGGAAGGCACAGACAGCCAGGAUGUUGGCUUAGAAGCAGCCAUCAUUUAAAGAAAGCGUAAUAGCUCACUGGUCGAGUCGGCCUGCGCGGAAGAUGUAACGGGGCUAAACCAUGCACCGAAGCUGCGGCAGCGACACUAUGUGUUGUUGGGUAGGGGAGCGUUCUGUAAGCCUGCGAAGGUGUGCUGUGAGGCAUGCUGGAGGUAUCAGAAGUGCGAAUGCUGACAUAAGUAACGAUAAAGCGGGUGAAAAGCCCGCUCGCCGGAAGACCAAGGGUUCCUGUCCAACGUUAAUCGGGGCAGGGUGAGUCGACCCCUAAGGCGAGGCCGAAAGGCGUAGUCGAUGGGAAACAGGUUAAUAUUCCUGUACUUGGUGUUACUGCGAAGGGGGGACGGAGAAGGCUAUGUUAGCCGGGCGACGGUUGUCCCGGUUUAAGCAUGUAGGCUGGUUAUCCAGGCAAAUCCGGAUAAUCAAGGCUGAGGUGUGAUGACGAGGCACUACGGUGCUGAAGUAACAAAUGCCCUGCUUCCAGGAAAAGCCUCUAAGCAUCAGGUAACAUCAAAUCGUACCCCAAACCGACACAGGUGGUCAGGUAGAGAAUACCAAGGCGCUUGAGAGAACUCGGGUGAAGGAACUAGGCAAAAUGGUGCCGUAACUUCGGGAGAAGGCACGCUGGUGUGUAGGUGAAGUCCCUGCGGAUGGAGCUGAGACCAGUCGAAGAUACCAGCUGGCUGCAACUGUUUAUUAAAAACACAGCACUGUGCAAACACGAAAGUGGACGUAUACGGUGUGACGCCUGCCCGGUGCCGGAAGGUUAAUUGAUGGGGUUAUCCGUAAGGAGAAGCUCUUGAUCGAAGCCCCGGUAAACGGCGGCCGUAACUAUAACGGUCCUAAGGUAGCGAAAUUCCUUGUCGGGUAAGUUCCGACCUGCACGAAUGGCGUAAUGAUGGCCGGGCUGUCUCCACCCGAGACUCAGUGAAAUUGAACUCGCUGUGAAGAUGCAGUGUACCCGCGGCAAGACGGAAAGACCCCGUGAACCUUUACUAUAGCUUGACACUGAACAUUGAGCCUUGAUGUGUAGGAUAGGUGGGAGGCUUUGAAGCGUGGACGCCAGUCUGCGUGGAGCCAACCUUGAAAUACCACCCUUUAAUGUUUGAUGUUCUAACGUUGGCCCCUGACCGGGGUUGCGGACAGUGUCUGGUGGGUAGUUUGACUGGGGCGGUCUCCUCCCAAAGCGUAACGGAGGAGCACGAAGGUUAGCUAAUCCUGGUCGGACAUCAGGAGGUUAGUGCAAUGGCAUAAGCUAGCUUGACUGCGAGCGUGACGGCGCGAGCAGGUGCGAAAGCAGGUCAUAGUGAUCCGGUGGUUCUGAAUGGAAGGGCCAUCGCUCAACGGAUAAAAGGUACUCCGGGGAUAACAGGCUGAUACCGCCCAAGAGUUCAUAUCGACGGCGGUGUUUGGCACCUCGAUGUCGGCUCAUCACAUCCUGGGGCUGAAGUAGGUCCCAAGGGUAUGGCUGUUCGCCAUUUAAAGUGGUACGCGAGCUGGGUUUAGAACGUCGUGAGACAGUUCGGUCCCUAUCUGCCGUGGGCGCUGGAGAAUUGAGGGGGGCUGCUCCUAGUACGAGAGGACCGGAGUGGACGCAUCACUGGUGUUCGGGUUGUCAUGCCAAUGGCACUGCCCGGUAGCUAAAUGCGGAAGAGAUAAGUGCUGAAAGCAUCUAAGCACGAAACUUGCCCCGAGAUGAGUUCUCCCUGAGACUUUAAGUCUCCUGAAGGAACGUUGAAGACGACGACGUUGAUAGGCCGGGUGUGUAAGCGCAGCGAUGCGUUGAGCUAACCGGUACUAAUGAACCGUGAGGCUUAACCUU
rnacentral:rRNA from 1 species